rnacentral:rRNA from 1 species
AGUGAACGCUGGCGGUAGGCCUAACACAUGCAAGUCGAACGGCAGCACAGGAGAGCUUGCUCUCUGGGUGGCGAGUGGCGGACGGGUGAGGAAUACAUCGGAAUCUACUCUGUCGUGGGGGAUAACGUAGGGAAACUUACGCUAAUACCGCAUACGACCUACGGGUGAAAGCAGGGGACCUUCGGGCCUUGCGCGAUUGAAUGAGCCGAUGUCGGAUUAGCUAGUUGGCGGGGUAAAGGCCCACCAAGGCGACGAUCCGUAGCUGGUCUGAGGGGAUGAGCAGCCACACUGGAACUGAGACACAGUCCAGACUCCUACGGGAGGCAGCAGUGGGGAAUAUUGGACAAUGGGCGCAAGCCUGAUCCAGCCAUACCGCGUGGGUGAAGAAGGCCUUCGGGUUGUAAAGCCCUUUUGUUGGGAAAGAAAUCCAGCUGGCUAAUACCCGGUUGGGAUGACGGUACCCAAAGAAUAAGCACCGGCUAACUUCGUGCCAGCCGCCGCCGUAA